AUAGAGAAAACAUUCGGAUCGGAAUGUCCCACACGAGACUUGUCAUUCAAAAAUGAACGGAUUAUUAACGGAUUUUUUAUUUUUAAAUUUAAUUUUGUUAUUUCCUAGUCUCUCAGUCAACACAGCCAGCUGAGCAACACUGUAUUCUUCCCAUAGCAUAGCUAACCUAGUUAGCUAAAGCUAAGUUGCUCAACACAUCUCUACAGUGGCUUUGAUAACUGUCAAGAUGGUGUCAAAAAUACUAAUUUCACUUGUAUUGUUAACAAAUGUUUUCGUGAACCUGAGAGCGAUGGAUCCUCCGAAAACAACCGACUCCAAAGACUCUGGUGACUCAAGGGUCCAAGAAUCGAAGAAGAGGUGGCAAGGAGAAAGACAGGAGUUGUUGAAAUUCCCUUUUUUCCUUAAAAAGGAUCCUGCAACUAAUGUAAAAGGAAUGCAAGCCAGUGAUGUAAGUUAUUUGUAGGGCAUCUUUGUUAUGAAUUAGGCUGUGGUUCUGGUGGGGGUUUCAUAUAUUGGCAUUGAGUAUGGGGCAUCACCAUUUUAAAAUGUUUUAUCACUUAGAAAACACUUAGUUUUUUCACAUUUAUCAAAUUAGGCCCAA